GAAGACUUGCAGAAAGAAGACGUUCGUCAGUCAUCUUGGUGAGCUUCUCCACAGAGCUUGAAAAUGUUCUCAACCAACACAUUUGAUCAGCACAUAAUUCUUGUGGAUGCACAUCAAGUCCUUUUGCAGUUGUAUCUAUCAAAGUGCUAUGCAGACAUAAUGGGAAUGACUCGCAUUGUAGAGCUUGGAGAAAUUCACAUAGGUUCUCAAGAGGAAUUCAUCAAGGACAUGUCUGUUGGCGUUAUAGUUGUGGGUGACCAAAAUGAGCACCAUCAAUCUGCAGUGAUGUGGUCCUGGUAAUAGAAGAACAAAUCUUAUCUGCGGUUGUAACACGUAUGUUUUCAAUAUAGUACACAGCACUUAAUGUAUGUCAUGAUACACAAUGCCACAAUACUAAAAUAAAGCCAAAAUAGUGUUAAAGGGAUA